rnacentral:piRNA from 1 species
UACAGUAAAUAGCGUAGACUUUUAAUCUGU